UCAUAUCUACAAUUGAACCUUGCAAACAGUGAAUUCCCAAUUCGCGGAUGAGCAGGAAGAGCUAGCAGAGGGAGCAGAAAUGGCGAGCUAUCUAUGGAGAAAAUACGCGGACUAUCGAUACACCAAGUGGGAAAGAACGAUUCUUUGGGAUAUGAUAGAGCCAUACAAGAAACCCAAAUCGUUUACUCCUCUGGUCACUAUUUAUGUAGCCGCUUUCUACACCGGGGUCAUUGGCGCUGCCAUCACUGAGCAACUCUACAAGGAGAAGUACUGGGAAGAUCAUCCAGGUGAAGCAGUUCCUCUCAUGAAGCCAAAGUUCUACUCUGGUCCUUGGAAGGUGCUUAGAGGAGAGGUUCUGCCACCCAAUCAGUGAAAACUGCUGCAAUCAUUUUACUUUUUUCUGGAGUUCCUUCCAUUUUCUCCCCCUUUUUGUUCUAUUGUGUAGGUGGCACAGGUUUGAUAGAUGUUAUCAAUAAAGUAUACCGUUGCUUGAAAAAAUAAUUAGAACAACCUUGUCAUGGUGAUGGUGCUUUUGGUUGCCCAGUGCAUAAUUGAACAGGAAGCUUGUUUAGCCCCCUUUGAUAUGUUGUUUGUAUUUGGAAAACCGAGGUGUUUUCAUUAACCAAAAAUAUAUCACUUUGCUUCACAGAUAUCAAAUCAUGACAUCCAUUAAAAUCCCUGCACAACACCUGUUCCCUGUUUUUCUGUUUUUUCAGAUGUAGAAUGAAGAGAGUGCUUUAAUAUUUUACCUUUUAGAUAGCGAGAUCCAUGAGAUUAGUUGGGGUUUUUAUUUUGAUAUGUUCAGGGUUGAACGUUCUUUCUUUUAUGUGUUCACUCGUGUAAUUGUUAAGAAAUUGCAUAAUCAUCAUCCUAUGUUCUGAAAUUUGGCAGUUUGGUAUCGCCUAACUUGUAUAACAUUCAGAUUCAGUCAUUUAUCUCAAAGGGAAACAUUCUCUUUGUGAAAAUGAUUUUUACUAGGAAACGAUUGUAUAAAUUAAAGAUC
rnacentral:misc_RNA from 1 species